rnacentral:lncRNA from 10 species
GGUUACUUCACGCAUGCUUACACCAACCCCACAGAAAGCCAGCCCCUGUGGGCCACAGAGCCCAGCUCAGGCAGUGCAAGCUGUGGGCCCCCUGGGGCUCUCUGUCUUCUGCUUUCCUCCCACGGCCGAGCCUCUCCCUUUCUGGAAGGGAUCAAGACAAAUGGAAUGCUCUCUUGCAGGCAGAUUAUAACACGGCUUUUGAAGAACAGGAGGGGUCUUGCCGUUUAGAUCUCCAGAGGUUGUGCUAGACCCGGGGGAAGACGUGACCAGUCGUGCUUUGCUGCGGUGGGUGAUGUGACUCUGUAGGGCCUGUUGAAAUGACACCCCCAAGAUGAUAUUAUUAUUCUACUCACUAGACCACCAGGGAAGGCAAAGAUUAUGAAACCUAAAUGGCUAACAAACAUGUUAGAAGGUAUUCAGUCUCACCGGUAAUUGGUAAUUUUAUACCCAUCUGAUGGCAGGGCGACUCUGGAGACAUGGGAACUGGCGGGAGCACAGGUGGGCACAGUCAUCCGGACAGCAUCUGGCUCAGUAGUAAAAACUAAGUUAUACGUAAACCGAAUGACCCAGCAAUGCACCUCCUAGAGAAACUCGCCUGUGGAUAGGUCUUAAAAACCUGAAAGCAGACUGCCUGGCAAAGGGGCUCACCACCGUAAGCCCAGAGCUUUCCGUGGCCAAGGCAGGAGAAUCGUUCAAGCACAGGAGUUUGAGACCAGCCUGGGUAACCUAAAGAGAUUCUGUCUCUACAAAAAAUCUAAAAAUGAACUGGGCAUGGCGGCAGGUGCCUGUAGUCCCAGCUACUCGGGAGGCUGGGGUGAGAGGAUUGCUUGAGCCUGGGAGGUCGGGGCCUCAGUGAGCCAUGAUGGCACCACUGCACUCAAACCUGGAUAACAGAGCAAGACCCUGUUUCAAAAAAUGUAUGUAUAAAUAAUUGUCAUUAGUUCAUGUUUAUCAAU